CCUUCGAUAGCUCAGUUGGUAGAGCGGAGGACUGUAGUGGGAGCUUGUGGCUAUCCUUAGGUCGCUGGUUCGAAUCCGGCUCGAAGGA
rnacentral:tRNA from 1 species